rnacentral:misc_RNA from 1 species
ACAAGGUUUCCGUAGGUGAACCUGCGGAAGGAUCAUUGUCGUAGCCUGCUAAAGCAACACAACUUGUGAACAUGUAGAAACACCCAGGGACCCAAGGGCGUUCCGCGCCCUUUCUUCCCGACGUCGGGACGGCUUGUCGUUCGCUAUGCUUUCCGAGCCGUCCCGGCGCAACAAAAACCCGGCGCAAAAUGUGCCAAGGAAUAUAAAAGAAUGCGCGUUCUUCCGGUGUUCCCGUGCGGCGCACUCGGUUGGAUGUGCACUUCUUGAUGAGUUUAUAAUGACUCUCGGCAACGGAUAUCUCGGCUCUUACAUCGAUGAAGAACGUAGCAAAAUGCGAUACUUGGUGUGAAUUGCAGAAUCCCGUGAACCAUCGAGUCUUUGAACGCAAGUUGCGCCCGAAUCCAUCCGGUCGAGGGCACGUCUGCCUGGGUGUCACGUACACAAGUCUCCCACAAACCUUCCCUAUUUUAGGCGAAGGCCACUGUGCGAGCUGAGAUUGGUCUCCCGUGCUCGUACUGCGCGGUUAACCUAAAAUCAGAGAGCCGGUGACGCGACGUCACGUCAAGUGGUGGUUAACGAACCUUAAGGGUCGACCAGUUCGCGACGUGGACGUCUGUCACUCGGAAAGCUCAAUUGACACCUUGAACGUCUUGAUAGGCGUGCUACUGUCGCGACCCCA